GACGAACCCUUUCGGCGUGCUUAACACAUGCAAGUCGAACGGAAAGGCCCUGCUUUUGUGGGGUGCUCGAGUGGCGAACGGGUGAGUAACACGUGAGUAACCUGCCCUUGACUUUGGGAUAACUUCAGGAAACUGGGGCUAAUACCGGAUAGGAGCUCCUGCUGCAUGGUGGGGGUUGGAAAGUUUCGGCGGUUGGGGAUGGACUCGCGGCUUAUCAGCUUGUUGGUGGGGUAGUGGCUUACCAAGGCUUUGACGGGUAGCCGGCCUGAGAGGGUGACCGGCCACAUUGGGACUGAGAUACGGCCCAGACUCCUACGGGAGGCAGCAGUGGGGAAUAUUGCACAAUGGGCGGAAGCCUGAUGCAGCAACGCCGCGUGCGGGAUGACGGCCUUCGGGUUGUAAACCGCUUUCGCCUGUGACGAAGCGUGAGUGACGGUAAUGGGUAAAGAAGCACCGGCUAACUACGUGCCAGCAGCCGCGGUGAUACGUAGGGUGCGAGCGUUGUCCGGAUUUAUUGGGCGUAAAGGGCUCGUAGGUGGUUGAUCGCGUCGGAAGUGUAAUCUUGGGGCUUAACCCUGAGCGUGCUUUCGAUACGGGUUGACUUGAGGAAGGUAGGGGAGAAUGGAAUUCCUGGUGGAGCGGUGGAAUGCGCAGAUAUCAGGAGGAACACCAGUGGCGAAGGCGGUUCUCUGGGCCUUUCCUGACGCUGAGGAGCGAAAGCGUGGGGAGCGAACAGGCUUAGAUACCCUGGUAGUCCACGCUGUAAACGGUGGGUACUAGGUGUGGGGUCCAUUCCACGGGUUCCGUGCCGUAGCUAACGCUUUAAGUACCCCGCCUGGGGAGUACGGCCGCAAGGCUAAAACUCAAAGGAAUUGACGGGGCCCCGCACAAGCGGCGGAGCAUGCGGAUUAAUUCGAUGCAACGCGUAGAACCUUACCUGGGUUUGACAUGGAUCGGGAGUGCUCAGAGAUGGGUGUGCCUCUUUUGGGGUCGGUUCACAGGUGGUGCAUGGCUGUCGUCAGCUCGUGUCGUGAGAUGUUGGGUUAAGUCCCGCAACGAGCGCAACCCUUGUUCACUGUUGCCAGCACGUUAUGGUGGGGACUCAGUGGAGACCGCCGGGGUCAACUCGGAGGAAGGUGGGGAUGACGUCAGGUCAUCAUGCCCCUUAUGUCCAGGGCUUCACGCAUGCUACAAUGGCUGGUACAGAGAGUGGCGAGCCUGUGAGGGUGAGCGAAUCUCGGAAAGCCGGUCUCAGUUCGGAUUGGGGUCUGCAACUCGACCUCAUGAAGUCGGAGUCGCUAGUAAUCGCAGAUCAGCAACGCUGCGGUGAAUACGUUCCCGGGGCU
rnacentral:rRNA from 1 species